UCAAAGCGGGCUGUCUAUGUCCA
rnacentral:siRNA from 1 species